AAGGAGAGUAUGAUGGUGUAGCAAGGUGUAAGAAGAGGAAAAGUCGGUUGAGGUGUGCCGGAACCGACGUAGCAGUAGGCCUGUAAAUAAAGAGGGCCCACCCAGUAAUGAAUAGAGAAAAGUAUAAAAGGGAGAGGAGGGUGGGGUCAAGCAACGCUAAGGAACGAACGGGACAGGUGGAGGUGAGUAGUGAGCUUAAAUAGGGGACCAUGCCCCUCCCACAACUGCAGGCCAAGCCUUCACAUUUGUGGUAGGGGCAUAAAAGGCGAGGCAAAAGUCUAAGGAGAGUAUGAUGGUGUAGCAAUGUGUAAGAAGAGGAAAAGUCGGUUGAGGUGUGCCGGAACCGACGUAGCAGUAGGCCUGUAAAUAAAG